GACGAACGCUGGCGGCGUGCUUAACACAUGCAAGUCGAGCGGUAAGGCCCUUUCGGGGUACGACGAGCGGCGAACGGGUGAGUAACACGUGGGUGACCUGCCCUCAGCUCUGGGAGUAAGCCUGGGAAACCGGGUACUAAUACCGGAUAUGACUCCAUGACGCAUGUUGUGGGGUGGAAAGCCUUGUGCGGCUGAGGAUGGGCCCGCGGCCUAUCAGCUUGUUGGUGGGGUGAUGGCCUACCAAGGCGACGACGGGUAGCCGGCCUGAGAGGGCGACCGGCCACACUGGGACUGAGACACGGCCCAGACUCCUACGGGAGGCAGCAGUGGGGAAUCUUGCGCAAUGGGCGAAAGCCUGACGCAGCGACGCCGCGUGA
rnacentral:rRNA from 1 species